CCUACGGGUGGCAGCAGUGAGGAAUAUUGGUCAAUGGGCGCGAGCCUGAACCAGCAACGUAGCGUGAAGGAUGACUGCCCUACGGGUUGUAAACUUCUUUUAUAAAGGAAUACAGUGAGGCACGUGUGCCUUUUUGUAUGUACUUUAUGUAUAAGGAUCGGCUAACUCCGUGCCAGCAGCCGCGGUAAUACGGAGGAUCCGAGCGUUAUCCGGAUUUAUUGGGUUUAACGGGAGCGUAGAUGGGUUGUUAAGUCAGAUGUGAAAGUUUGCGGCUCAACCGUAAAAUUGCAAUUGAUACUGGCAGCCUUGAGUACAGUUGAGGUAGGCGGAAUUCGAGGUGUAGCGGUGAAAUGCUUAGAUAUCACGAAGAACUCCGAUUGCGAAGGCAGCCUUCUAAUCUGCCACUGACAUUGAUGCUCGAAAGUGUGGGUAUCAAACAGGAUUAGAUACCCCAGUAGUC
rnacentral:rRNA from 1 species